GCGCCUGUAGCUCAGUGGAUAGAGCACUGGUCUUCGGAACCAGGUGUCGGGGGUUCGAAUCCCUCCAGGCGCGCCA
rnacentral:tRNA from 2 species